rnacentral:lncRNA from 1 species
CCAGCCAUUCUUUCUUNNNNNNNNNNNAGAAAAUUUAGCCUUCCUUCCUUCCUUCCUUCCUUCCUUCCUUCCUUCCUUCCUUCCUUCCUUCCUUCCUUCCUUCCUUUCUUUCUUUCUUUCUUUCUUUCUUUCUUUCUUUCUUUCUUUCUUUCUUUCUUUCUUUCUUUCUUUCUUUCUUUCUUUCUUUCUUUCUUUCUUUCUUUCUUUCUAUCUUUCAUUCUGUCUCUGUCUGUCUGUCUGUCUCUCAGUAACAACACUAAGACAGAAGGGCAAAGGCUAGGCAGAUGGGGUUAAGUGGCUUGGCCAGGGUCACACAGGUAGGACAUAUCUGAGGCAAGAUUUUAAUCCCAACUCCAGGCCUAGCUCUCUAUCUAUUGUACCACCUAUGUGCUCUUGUACUCAUUUUCAAGGGAAGCUACUUGGAGUGCUGGAUGGAGUGUUGGCCUAUAAGAUAGGCAGAUCUG